GUUCUUACCUGGCGCCGGGUUCAGGGUGAUCAGGAAUGCUCUGACCCCGGGUGGAGGCUCACCAAUGCACUUCGGUGGGUUGAAACUCGCGACGAACCCUAAUCGGGUAGUUUUUGUCAGUGGGGAGGUCUCACAGUCCUCCCUU
rnacentral:snRNA from 1 species